ACAGACAACCAGCAUCACUGUUAACACCAUGGAGGAGGAUGAUUCAGAUCCUGUCCACUCAGAGAGUCUGAUGGCUUGUGCCUUUGGGCUAAAGACCACACCUGAAGAGGUACAACUGCCCAAAAGAAGAAAACACCCUGGAAGGAGACAGACGUGAAGGCAGUGGAAAGGCACAUGAAUCGAUUCAUCACAUCUUGUAUUGCUCCAGCAAAGUUUGACUGUGAGAAGUGUAAAAGGGCUGAUCCAGAAGCUCUUAAGGACCGGAGCUGGCAGAAUGUGAAAUUCUACAUAUAUAAACGCAUUACAGCCAACAAGAGGAAAUUAAGUAAAUAAUGGGAAGAUUACAACCAGUAAGCGGUUGCUAUGUGGUUGUCUGAAAUUAAAAAUAUCUUACAAAUUU